rnacentral:piRNA from 1 species
UAGUAAUGGUCUGAACACACUAUUUGGCCCU